GGCGGACGUGGGGGUCGUGCAGUAGGGCUGGUGAAUUACCAGAUCUCCGUCAAGUGCAGUAACCAGUUCAAGUUGGAAGUGUGUCUUUUGAAUGCAGAAAACAAAGUCGUGGACAACCAGGCUGGGACCCAGGGCCAGCUGAAGGUGCUGGGUGCCAACCUCUGGUGGCCGUACCUGAUGCACGAACACCCCGCCUACCUGUACUCGUGGGAGGUGCGGCUGACUGCACAGAAGUCACUGGGGCCUUUGACUUCUACACACUCCCUGUGGGGCUCCGCACUGUGCCCGUCACCGAGAGCCAGUCUUCAACAACGGUCUA